rnacentral:rRNA from 1 species
CGAAGUGGUUUGAGCUAGAUAUAACUGUAAUAUUAGUAUUUUGUGUAUGGUGUGGCAAAAUGAUAUCAAAAGUUAUGUGUAGGGGUGAUAGGCCUAUCAAAAACCAGGAUAGCUUGAUUCUAAUGAAAGGUAUUUAGUACAAUAUUAUACAUUUAUUAAGUGGCGAGGCUUAUUAAAAAUAUAAAGGUAUAUUAAUGGUGUAUAUUAAUUUAUAAUAAAAAAAUAUAUAGUUAUUAUAUUAUUCCACUUUAAUUGUUUAUAAAUAUUAAUUAGAUGUAGCUAAGCUUUGUAUGUUUGUAAUAGUGUUAGUAUUAGUAUAUUACGCUGGGUUUAUUUAAGGAACUCGGCAAAAAUGUUUCUCAACUGUUUAUCAAAAACAUAACUAUGUGUAACUAUACAUAGCUUUUUCUGCUCAAUGAUUAUAUUAAAUAGCCGCAGUA